rnacentral:rRNA from 1 species
GUGGGGAAUUUUGGACAAUGGGCGCAAGCCUGAUCCAGCAAUGUCGCGUGCAGGAAGAAGGCCUUCGGGUUGUAAACUGCUUUUGUACGGAACGAAACGGUCCUGGUUAAUACCCGGGGCUAAUGACGGUACCGUAAGAAUAAGCACCGGCUAACUACGUGCCAGCAGCCGCGGUAAUACGUAGGGUGCAAGCGUUAAUCGGAAUUACUGGGCGUAAAGCGUGCGCAGGCGGUGCUGUAAGACAGGCGUGAAAUCCCCGGGCUUAACCUGGGAAUUGCGCUUGUGACUGCAGUGCUGGAGUGCGGCAGAGGGGGAUGGAAUUCCGCGUGUAGCAGUGAAAUGCGUAGAUAUGCGGAGGAACACCGAUGGCGAAGGCAAUCCCCUGGGCCUGCACUGACGCUCAUGCACGAAAGCGUGGGGAGCAAACAGGAUUAGAUACCCGGGUAGUCC